rnacentral:rRNA from 1 species
AUGCAAUCUAUCACACUCACACAGCUCGAGGAUAAGAUAACCUGGACCUUAACUGCCAACUCUAUCUACUCAUCCAGCUCUGCUUAUGAAGCUCAAUACCAUGGCCGGAUUUUGAACCCUCAACUGCACAAGGUCUGGGAUGCUAAAGCGGAGGGCAAGAUAAAAUUCUUCAUUUGGCUAAUUUUGCAAAACAGAGUAUGGACAGCUGACCGCCUUGCUAUGCGAGGCUGGCCUCAUGAUGACCUCUGUUGCCUUUGUGAUCAAGAGAUGGAAUCCAUUAAUCACGUACUGCUAAAGUGCCCUUUCGCCAAGGAAGUGUGGUCUGCCUUCUCCUCCUCGCAUCCUUCGACCACAACAACUGCCUUGGGCUCUACCUCUAUCUCUGGAUGGUGGAGGAAGAUUUCUAGGUACAGCAAGAAAAAGGAAGAGUCUGCAAACAUCACAAUGGCUAUAUACACGGUUUGGCAUCUCUGGAAGGAGAGGAACAACAUGAUUUUUGAGGGAAAGAACGCUACUGUGAGCACUGUGGUCUCUCUUAUCCAUGACGACCUGCUUUUUGUAGGUCCUAUCUUCUGCAAGUAG